GUCUAGUAAUUUGUACCGUGCUGUAAGAAGGAAAUAUGAAGCAGUCAAGGGAUAUAGAAGAAGAGGUGCUUCCUUCAUAUAGGAUCAAGAAUGCCAAAAUGUAAAUGUCUUUAUUUAACCGCAUAAAGAGACUAAAAUCUUUAGGUCCCUGUAAUAAUUUUUUCGGAACUAGCCGAGGGGACUACUUGGCCCUUGUGAACAGUGGUGGCCAGCUAGGGCGGUCGCCCUAGCUCGAUUCGCCGGAAUCGCCGAGUGCCGGCUGGCUGUGAUUGUGAAUCUGUGAUGACAGUCACAGAUUUGGCCUGGUGUUUGGUUGUGAUACUGUUGGGUAGUUCACAAUUGGGCCUUUUAUUUUUAUUUUUUUAAGUGAAUCACUCAUAGACCAUGGACCAGAUUACUUAUCGUCACUAGAGGUCCCGACUCCAGAGUCAGUUUCCUAUUUUCCCCCAAUUCUUAAUUUUCUUCCCAUCAAAAUCGGCAGGCAGAGGCAAACCCUUCUUGAGUUCUUCACUUCUUUUCCCAAUUCCUUCUCGUCAAACCAGUCACCUGAGUUCAUUGAUUGAGCUAUUAGCUGUAGCGGCUUGAACGGUGAACCCACUGGCACGAUUCGCCAUUUUUUUUUCUAAGUCUCUCAUUCUCUAAGUCUCUGACUCUCUGUAUGUGAUUUUUUUGUGCAAUUUUUCAUGUAUUUAUAAAUUAUACAGAUAACCCAUCUAUAUUAUGGUCCAAUUUUUGGGUCGUUGAUGAAUUUAGCUUCGGUUUUUAUUAAAAUAUUGUUUAUUGUGCUUUGCCACUUUGGUGUAAUUUAGAUUUCAGUGUGUAAUAUUGUUUAUUGUGCUUUGCCAAUUGCCACUUUCGUGUAAUUUAGUGCCUGAUUAUGUAAUUGAAUCAUUGAACCCGCUUGUUUUGAUAAAGCCCAUUUUAUGAUUUUGAUAAUUAGAUAGAUGAUAUUUGUUGUUUUUAUAAUUUUAAUCAUAUGUAUUAUUUGAUUGCAAUGCAAACUUGCUGCAGUUAGUAAAAAAGUUAAUAAAUGGUGGAAAGUAACGGGAAG
rnacentral:lncRNA from 1 species